ensembl:snoRNA Gm23746 predicted gene, 23746
CUCACCCCUAGAGGCAUUGCAGGUGUGGCUGCUCUAUCAUAUCUGCAUCAGUAGGUUGCAGAGAGGGGAGAGGCUAUCUGUGUUCAGUGUUCUGAUCUGAUCUGAACUAUGAGCAGCCUAACACU